UACGUAGGUGGCGAGCGUUGUCCGGAUUUACUGGGCGUAAAGAGCGCGCAGGCGGUCGUAUAAGUCGCGUGUGAAAGCCCCCGGCUCAACUGGGGAGGGUCACGCGAUACUGUUCGACUCGAAGGCAGGAGAGGGAAGUGGAAUUCCACGUGUAGCGGUGAAAUGCGUAGAGAUGUGGAGGAACACCGAUGGCGAAGGCAGCCUUCUGGGCCAACACUGACGCUCAUGCACGAAAGCGUGGGGAGCAAACAGG
rnacentral:rRNA from 1 species